AAGGGUUGAAAAAAAUGGAGGAAAGAUUUUAUUAAAUUAUUAUUUAUGAUUCAAAUACAGUAUAAUAUACAAUUUUGUUUUCUUCUCUCUUUUUGUUACAUUGUAAUUAUUCCACAUAUCAACUUAUUGUUUUGAAUGGAUAUUGUGGUUAAUCCGGAAUAAUCCGUCAGCAGUACAGUCUAUACUAUUUUUUGAGACGGAUAUGUUGUGGUUAGUGCGAACUAAUCCGUCAACGGUCCAAUCUAUACUAUUUUUUAGGACAGAGAACAAACCGCUGCAAACUUAGUUUAAAGUCAAUCCGCAUCAAAUUUAUUUGUUUUUUUGGUUCUGCUUCAUUACGAACUAUAGAUUGUGAAUGAUAAAUAAAAAGCGGUUCGGUUUGUAGAUGGUUUGUCCGCUUGGAUCGCUGUAACCAUUCAAAGUUUAUCUCGCAAAAAUUAGUUUAUUAGUUGAA
rnacentral:sRNA from 1 species